rnacentral:rRNA from 1 species
GUCUACGGUCAUGCUACCCUGAACAAGCCCAAUCCCAUCUGAUCUUGGAAGCUAAGCAAGGUCAGGCCUGGUUAGUACUUGGAUAGGAGACCAGUUAGGAAGACCAGGUGCUAUAGGCG